GAUGAACGCUGACAGAAUGCUUAACACAUGCAAGUCAUUGGCGAAGCUGCGCUUGCGCAGUCUAGCCAAGGCGGACGGGUGAGUAACGCGUAAGGAACUUGCCCUGCAGACAGGGAUAACAGACGGAAACGACUGAUAACACCUGGUAUUGUCAGGCUGGCGCAUGCCGGCCUGAUGAAAGGAGACGCUGCAGGAGAGCCUUGCGUCCUAUUAGCUAGUUGGUGGGGUAACGGCCCACCAAGGCGAUGAUAGGUAGCCGGCCUGAGAGGGUGAACGGCCACAAGGGGACUGAGAUACGGCCCUUACGCCUACGGGAGGCAGCAGUGGGGAAUAUUGGACAAUGGGGGCAACCCUGAUCCAGCAAUUCUGUGUGCACGAAGAAGGUUUUCGGAUUGUAAAGUGCUUUCAGCAGGGAAGAAGAAAGUGACGGUACCUGCAGAAGAAGCGACGGCUAAAUACGUG
rnacentral:rRNA from 1 species